ensembl:lncRNA
CAACAAUCUGGCAGAGACUGAACAUCAGCUGGUCCUUAAAUACUGUCACUGAUGGUCUGAUGAGAAUCAGGUGUGUAGGCUGAAACCAGGGGGCUCAAUCAGCAGGUGGAAUCUAAGGCAGGACUUGCUCAUCCUCAACGAAGGCCAAAACAUUAGUGAAGAAAACAGAGGAAUCCUAACCAUCCCAGGACAAUCCCAGGAACCAGUUUGAGGUCAUCUGAACUUUGUAACAUGUAAUCAUCAUAUGACCAACUCUGAAAACUGAAAACAUCUUAAAGAUCUAACCUUCUCAUGUCCCCAUUUUAUUGUUUUUUCCAUUAAUUUCCAGGACGUCUAGGAAACGUCUGGCUGCAGCUGGAGUCACAACACGGAGCAGCCCGUGGCCUCUCUGGUCUGCAGGAUCCUGAUCAGGGCCGUGACUGUUUUCAGACCUGCUGAGACCUUAUCCACAGGACUUCUGACGAUGAAACUGGGUGAUUUGGGAUUUCCUGGUAAAGCAACGUAGGAUGCAGCCACCUCAGUGGGCUCUGAGUCUG